rnacentral:snoRNA from 1 species
ACGACCUUACUUGAACAGGAUCUGAUCUAUAGGUUGUACUACUGUAUCCUUGAGUGUAAAGGAGACAGGCAACAAAGUCUGGUGGAUGAAACAUGACCUCAGAGCCAGAGCGUGAUUGACGGCUGAGAUUCGCUGCGAAUCUCCUGCUGUAGAGGAUCGUCCCUGACCGGCGAAAGCCAGUCGGGUUGGCUCUGAGGUUGUCUGACAGACU